AAAAUGCAAGCACAGCCCCUCUGCGAAGAGACCUUUCGAGACCCAGAUCUGGACAUGUAGCAAGAGGUUGGGCCAGGGAUGGCUAUCGCUCAAGGUCCAGCGGUGGAUCCAGCAUCAGGUCCAGACAUAGUGAUGUCUCCAGAUACAGGUCCAGGUCCAAGUCCUGGUACAGUGAUGGUUCGAGGCACACCGUCAGGUCCAGACAUGACGGGUCAAGGCACAGUGAUGGUUUGAGACACGCCGGCAAGUCCAGAUAUGACGUGUCACGACACAGGUCCAGACAUGACAGAUCACGCCAUAGUGACGCCUCCAGAUGCAAUGACAGAUCCCGUAGUGAUGCCUCCAGGCCCCCCGCCAGGUCAAGUCAUAAUGAAAGAUCACGGCACGGUGAUCUCACCAGCCCCCCUUAUGAAAGGCCAAGGCAUGGUGAGUUGUUUAAGACCACAAAUUUCAUCUAAGCACUUUGCAAUUCAGUGAGUAGUGUUGAUGCACCCCUAAUCGUUACAAUAUUAAUUUAUUAUUUAUCUUCUAAUGCGACCCAAAUCUAUUGAAAGUUGUCAUUUG